AGUACGAGAAGCUACGGCAUCGAAGCAGUCUAUGUCAUACUUCCAAGAAAAGCUUGCAAUGUCAUAAACAAAUAAUGCCUGUACCAUAACCGACACAGGUGGGUAGGUAGAGUAUACUAAGGGGCGCGAGAUAACUCUCUCUAAGGAACUCGGCAAAAUGACUCCGUAACUUCGGGAGAAGGAGUGCCUUAUUUUUAUAAGGUUGCAAUAACAAGAUCCAAGCAACUGUUUACCAAAAACACAGGUCUCCGCUAAGUCGUAAGACGAUGUAUGGGGGCUGACGCCUGCCCAGUGCCAGAAGGUUAAAGAAGUUGGUUAGCAUUAGCGAAGCUGAUAACUGAAGCCCUGGUGAACGGCGGCCGUAACAAUAACGGUCCUAAGGUAGCGAAAUUCCUUGUCGGGUAAGUUCCGACUCGCACGAAAGGCGUAAUGAUUUGGAUACUGUCUCGGAGAGGGGCUCGGUGAAAUAGACUUGUCUGUGAAGAUGCGGACUACCUGCACCUGGACAGAAAGACCCUAUGAAGCUUUACUGUAACUUGAGAUUGAAAUUGGACUUUAUCUGCGCAGUAUAGGUGGGAGACGUUGAAAAUAUUCUUGCGGGAAUAUUGGAGUCAUCAGUGAGAUACCACUCUUAUAAUGUUAGAUUUCUAACUUUGUAUCAUUAUCUGGUCAAAGAGCAGUUUCAGGCGGGCAGUUUGACUGGGGCGGUCGCCUCCCAAACGGUAACGGAGGCGCACAAAGGUUUCCUCUGAACGUGUAGAAAUCGUAUCUAGAGUGUAAAGGCAUAAGGAAGCUUGACUGUGAGACCUACAAGUCGAGCAGGGACGAAAGUCGGUCUUAGUGAUCUGACGGUGCUGAGUGGAAAGGCCGUCACUCAACGGAUAAAAGUUACUCUAGGAUAACAGGCUGAUCUCCCCCAAGAGUUCACAUCGACGGGGAGGUUUGGCACCUCGAUGUCGGCUCAUCGCAUCCUGGGGCGGUAGUACGUCCCAAGGGUUUGGCUGUUCGCCCAUGAAAGCGGUACGCGAGCCGGGUUCAGAACGUCGUGAGACAGUUCGGUCCAUAUCCGGUGUAGGCGUUAGAAUAUUGAGAGGAGCCUUCUUUAGUACGAGAGGACCGAGAAGGACAUACCUCUGGUGUACCAGUUAUCGUGCCAACGGUAAACGCUGGGUAGCCAUGUAUGGAGAGGAUAACCGCUGAAAGCAUCUAAGUGGGAAGCCCACCUCAAGAUAAGUAUCCUC
rnacentral:rRNA from 1 species